rnacentral:lncRNA from 1 species
AUGGGCAAAAAGAGUAAAUCAAAAACUCCCAGAGAGAUGCAAGAUAAUAUAGCUGUUGGUAUCGGUGGCAGCUUCUUAGGUCCUCUUCAAACAGGUUUAGAUGAUUCUUUCCAUUUUGUCAAUUUAUAACUCUAUUUUGCAGUCUUGUUUACUAUUUAGUGUAAGUUUCCUUGUGAAAAUGAUUAAGCUUUCUUUGGAAUAAACUUUGGGUAGUGUUCACUGGUUUGAUUACAUUUUGCAGAUCCAGAGGCUAUCGAAACAGCAAGGGGAAGGCAACUGCAUUUGUAAGUACUUACGUAUCAAUUUUUAAGUGCUUAUGCUUUCAAAUUUUCUUUGUGUUUAUUUUUGAAAGCAAUCUGUAUUCUGUGUGUUGGUUGGAGUUGUGGUGUUUAAUAUAGCCCAUAUUCAGGGACUAUGUUAGAUGCAUUCUCUGUGUAAAUAUUUGGUCCUAUUCUUGGUAGUUGGGUUAAAGGAUUAUAUGCAUAUUUUUAUCAGAGGAUGGAUGAUUCUGGUCUAAGCUAAGGGUAUUCUAAUAAUUUGAUUUCCCCUGUGUGCAGUCUUGCAAAUGUUGAUCCUAUUGAUGUUGCCAGAAAUAUUGCAGGGUUAAAGCCAGAAACUACCAUCGG